rnacentral:lncRNA from 1 species
AUGGGAGCUCCUACAGCUGCAAGCACCCCCAGAGGCAUAGGCACCCUCCCGGCCUCGGGAAUGGCUCCACUGCGUCUCCUUCUCCACAGGCUUGAGACACCUUCAGAGCCUGUCUCCCCUUCCACAGGUCCAGGAACCCUGGCAGCUGUGGGUCCCUCAGUGGCCAGUCUCCUUGCCCAUAUGCCUGAGCAGUCAUCCCCAGAGCCGGUAUCCCCUACCAUCGGUCCAGGGAGCCCGGGAGCUGUGGGCACCCCCACGGCCAUGGAAUCUCUAGCAGCCACAGGCCUCCCAGCAGUCUGCCUUCUUCCAGACAGGCCAGAGACACGCUCAAAGAGGGUCCCCUCCCCCACAGACCCCGGAAGCCCCACAGCCAUGGAUACUCCUGUAGUCUGUCUGCCUCCCAACAAGCCUGAGACACCCCCAGAGCCAGUCUUCUCCCCCAUGGGCCCAGGCAUCCUGGUCGAGGUGGGCACUUCCAUCCUUGUGGGACCCUUGGCAUCUGCAGGUCCACCCACUGUCUCUCCUUCGCCCCACAAUUCUGAGCCAGUUUCCUCUUGCACAGGCCUAGGCACCCUGAGAGCCACGGGCACCCCACUAGCUGCAGACAGCCCCACAGUGCCAGCCAUUCCUGCAGUUUGCUGCCUCCCCGACAAGCCUGAGAAGCUCCCAGAGCCAGGCUCCAGUUCCACAGAACCAGGCGCCCUGGGGGCCAGAAGCACUUCGGUGGCCACAGGAGUCCUUACCCUCUGUCUCUGUCCCCAAGGUCUUGGGAUACCCCCAGAGUCAGUCUCCUCCUCAAGCCCAGGCCCCCCAGGUGCCACAGAAACCCCAAUAGUCUGUCUCCUUCCCCAUGGGCCCGGGAAGGCCCCAGAAUCACAAUGCUCCCCGCCAGACCACAGCUCCUCCGGAGCCACAAGUCCCCCUGAAGCCAGAGAUAUUCUGGCAGCCCCAGCCCUUUCCCACAGCUUCAAAAUGUCUCUAGAGCUGCCUUCUCCACACACAGGGCCAGACGCCCACACAGCAGCAGGCACUCUGGCAGGCACCUUUCCAGAGCCGGGCACGCCCAUCGCCAUGGGGACCCCUGCUGUGGCACACCUGUGCUGGGGCACAUCUGCUGCCCUGGGUAUGCCCACCCUCUCAGACACCCGCACAGCCUGCCUCCUCCCACACAGACAUGAAACAUCUCCGCAGCCAGCCUCCUGA